rnacentral:rRNA from 1 species
CGUAUCUGAAAUCAAGCAGGAGAACCCGCUGAACUUAAGCAUAUCACUAAGCGGAGGAAAAGAAAUUAACUAAGAUUGCCUCAGUAACGGCGAGUGAAGCGGCAAAAGCCCAGACUGGAAAUCCUCGUGCUGUGCACGAUGAAUUGUAAUCUAGAGAGUAGAAGCUCACCAGGAAUCGACGCAGAAGUGCCUUCGAACGGGCCGCCAAAGAGGGUGACAGCCCCGUAUGUGGUGUCGGUACCCAACGAGCUCUGCCUGAAGAGUCGGGUUGUUUGGAAUUGCAGCCCUAAGUGGGAGAUAGACUUCUUCCAAGGCUAAAUAUAUAUGGGAAACCGAUAGCGAACAAGUACUGUGAAGGAAAGAUGAAAAGAACUUUGAAAAGAGAGUCAAAAGACUUGAAAUCGUUGAGAAGGAAGCGGUAGAAAAUUAUUCUCUGUUGGCAGCAAAGUGUUCCACUCGAGUAUUGGCACGGUUUGGUACGUCAAAGGCCGGCUGUGUCACGUGCUUGAUGGAUUGCGGAGCUCCCAGCAGUGAGGCAGAAUGAGGUGCUGUAUCCACAAAGGCUUGUUGGUCUUGGGGGCCUUCGGGAACCAGGCCAGCUUUGUCGGUGGGCACAGCGCCUGAGGAAGCUUUGUGCGAUUCUGCCAAAAUGGUUUUUACCGACCCGUCUUGAAACACGGACCAAGGAGUCUAACAUAUAUGCGAGUGUGCUGGUGGAGAAACCAACACGCGGAAUGAAAGUAAGAGAUGCCAAGCGCAAGCGGCAGCAUCAACCGACCAUGAUCCUCUGGUGAAAGGUUCGAGUAUGAGCAUAUCUGUUAGGACCCGAAAGAUGGUGAACUAUGCCUGAGUAGGGUGAAGCCAGGGGAAACUCUGGUGGAGGCUCGUAGCGUUUCUGACGUGCAAAUCGAUCGUCAAACUUGGGUAUAGGGGCGAAAGACUAAUCGAACCAUCUAGUAGCUGGUUCCCUCCGAAGUUUCCCUCAGGAUAGCUGGGACAAGAACGCAGUUUUAUUAGGUAAAGCGAAUGAUUAGAGGUAUCUGGGGCAUCUUGCCCUGGACCUAUUCUCAAACUUUAAAUUGGUAAGAACCUGUGCCUUCCUUAAUUGAGGCAUAGGGGUCAAUGCGUGUCCCUAGUGGGCCAUUUUUGGUAAGCAGAACUGGCGAUGAGGGUUGCUCCUAACGUUGAGUUAAGGUGCCUAAAUGCAUGCUCAUCAGAAACUACAAAGGGUGUUGGUUCAUUAAGACAGCAGGACGGUGGCCAUGGAAGUCGGAACCCGCCAAGGAGUGUGUAACAACUCACCUGCCGAAUG